rnacentral:ncRNA from 1 species
GUGUCGUAUGAAAGGAGAGAAGGUUAGCACUCCCCUUGACAAGGUAGAAAGAGGCCCUGGGGCCUGACGACACACAUUACCACCUACUUCGUGGCAUCUAACCACUGUGU